CCUACGGGCGGCAGCAGUAGGGAAUAUUGCACAAUGGGGGAAACCCUGAUGCAGCGACGCCGCGUGCGUGACGAAGUAUUUCGGUAUGUAAAGCUCUAUCGGCAGAGAAGAUAAUGACGGUAUCUGAUUAAUAAGCACCGGCUAACUACGUGCCAGCAGCCGCGGUAAUACGUAGGGAGCAAGCGUUAUCCGGAUUUACUGGGUGUAAAGGGCGCGUAGACGGCAGCACAAGUCUGGAGUGAAAUGCCGGGGCUUAACCCCGGUACUGCUUUGGAAACUGUGAAGCUAGAGUGCAGGAGAGGUAGGUGGAAGUCCGAGUGUAGCGGGGAAAUGCGGAGAUAGUAGGAGGAACACCAGUGGCGAAGGCGGCUUACUGGACUGUAACUGACGUUGAGGCUCGAAAGCGUGGGGAGCAAACAGGAUUAGAGACCCUUGUAGUC
rnacentral:rRNA from 1 species